rnacentral:rRNA from 1 species
GCAGUCGAGGGGCAACACGCCUUCGGGUGGUGGCGACCGGCGGACGGGUGCGUAACGCGUAUGCAACCUGCCUUAUGCAGGGGGAUAGCCCAUGGAAACGUGGAUUAAUACCCCAUAUUCUGUACAAAUUGCAUAUUUUAUACAGGAAAACUUCGGUGGCAUAAGAUGGGCAUGCGUCUGAUUAGCUAGUUGGCAGGGUAAUGGCCUACCAAGGCGACGAUCAGUAGGGGUCCUGAGAGGGUUACCCCCCACACUGGUACUGAGAUACGGACCAGACUCCUACGGGAGGCAGCAGUGAGGAAUAUUGGUCAAUGGGCGGAAGCCUGAACCAGCCAUCCCGCGUGCAGGAUGACGGCCCUAUGGGUUGUAAACUGCUUUUCUGGGGGAAGAAACGUUGCGACGUGUCGUGAUUUGCCGGUACCCCAGGAAUAAGCACCGGCUAACUCCGUGCCAGCAGCCGCGGUAAUACGGAGGGUGCAAGCGUUAUCCGGAUUUAUUGGGUUUAAAGGGUGCGUAGGCGGAAGGCUAAGUCAGUGGUGAAAUACUGCCGCUUAACGGUAGGGCUGCCAUUGAUACUGGUUUUCUUGAGUAUGGUUGAGGUAGGUGGAAUGUGCGGUGUAGCGGUGAAAUGCAUAGAUAUCGCCCAGAACGCCGAUUGCGGAGGCAGCUUACUAAGCCAUUACUGACGCUGAGGCACGAA